rnacentral:rRNA from 1 species
GUGACGGCGUGCCUUUUGCAUAAUGAACCUACGAGUUACCAUCACAGGCAAGGUUAAGUCUCAUGAGGGACGCAACCGCAGUGAAAGCGAGGCUGAAUAGGCCGUCGAGUCUGUGGGGGUAGACGCGAAACCAAGUGAUCUACACUUGUCCAGGUUGAAGUCCCGGUAACACGGGAUGGAGGACCGAACCAAUAAGCGUUGAAAAGCUUCUGGAUGAGAUGAGUGUAGGAGUGAAAGGCCAAUCAAACUUGGAGAUAGCUCGUACUCCCCGAAAGGCAUUUAGGUGCCGCGUCGGAUGUUCAGCGUGAGAGGUAGAGCGACCGAUAGGACAAGAGGGCUUCACCGCCUAUCGAGUCCUGACGAACUCCGAAUGCUCACGCUCCGCAGUCCGGCAGUAAGGGGACGGGUGCUAAGGUCCGUUCCCGAGAGGAGAAGAAUCCAGACCGCCGUCUAAGGUCCCGGAAUUCUGUCUAAGUUAGUCUAACGAAGUGGGGUCUCAGUGACAGCCAGGAUGUUGGCUUGGAAGCAGCCAUUCAUUCAAAGAGUGCGUAACAGCUCACUGGUCGAGAGUCCCUGCAUGGAUAAUAAUCGGGUAUAAGACAGAUACCGAAGGCGCGGGAUAGCAAUAAUAAAAGUAUCGGUAGGGGAGCAUUCCAUAUCCGUCGAAUGGUGCGGGUAACUGAUCCUGGAGGAUAUGGAAAAGCAAAUGUAGGUAUAAGUAACGAUAAGGAGGGUAAGAUUCCCUCCCGCCGCAAGACUAAGGUUUCCCGGGCAAUGUCAAUCAUCCCGGGGUCAGUCGGGUCCUAAGUCUCAGCCGAAGGGCGAGGGCGAUGGCAGACACGGUCAACAUUCCGUGACUACCUUUAUGAGCGAUGCGGAGACGGAGCAGUGACACUUCCGCGAACCGACGGAAUGGUUCGUUGAAGAGUGUAGACGUUGAUCAGGGUAGGCAAAUCCGCCUUGAGAGUCGAACUUGAAAGUACAGGGUCCUCUUCGGAGGAACUUGAUAGCGAAGGUAAACAUACUCCCGAGAAAAUCCGCUAAGCAAUCUUAAAGGUACCCGUACCGCAAACGGACACACGUAGUCGGGUAGAACAUACUAAGGCGUUGAGAGAUUCAUGGUUAAGGAACUAGGCAAACUGACCCCGUAACUUCGGGAUAAGGGGUCCUCGUGAUGAGCGAGGCGCAGAGAAUAGGUCCAGGCAACUGUUUAACAAAAACACAGGGCUGUGCGAACUCGAAAGAUGAAGUAUACAGCCUGACACCUGCCCGGUGCCGGAAGGUUAAGAGGAGAUGUCAACCUUUGUGGCGAAGCAUUGAAUUGAAGCCCCGGUAAACGGCGGCCGUAACUAUAACGGUCCUAAGGUAGCGAAAUUCCUUGUCGGGUAAGUUCCGACCUGCACGAAUGGUGUAAUGAUCCGGACGCUGUCUCAACCAUGAGC